rnacentral:rRNA from 1 species
UGGGGAAUAUUGCACAAUGGGGGAAACCCUGAUGCAGCGACGCCGCGUGAGCGAUGAAGGCUUUCGAGUCGUAAAGCUCUGUCCUAUGGGAAGAUAAUGACGGUACCAUAGAAGAAAGCCCCGGCUAAUUACGUGCCAGCAGCCGCGGUAAUACGUAAGGGGCGAGCGUUGUCCGGAAUUAUUGGGCGUAAAGAGUGCGUAGGCGGCAAAUUAAGUCAGAUGUGAAAACUAAGGGCUCAACCCAUAGAUUGCAUCUGAAACUGAUAUGCUUGAGUCAAGGAGAGGAAAGUGGAAUUCCUAGUGUAGCGGUGGAAUGCGUAGAUAUUAGGAGGAAUACCGGUGGCGAAGGCGACUUUCUGGACUUGAACUGACGCUGAGGCACGAAAGCGUGGGGAGCAAA